CCCAUGCGGUGACACACGCCAAAAUGCAAAUUUGGAGACGCACCCAGAAAGGUGCCGGGGCUUCUCCCGUUUUGAAAGAGACGGGAGAAGGG
rnacentral:tRNA from 1 species